rnacentral:rRNA from 1 species
GUCUACGGCCAUGCCACCCUGAACAAGCCCGAUCCCAUCUGAUCUCGAAAGCUAAGCAGGGUCAGGCCUGGUUAGUACUUGGAUGGGAGACCACCUAGGAAAACCAGGUGCUGCAGGAA